rnacentral:rRNA from 1 species
UUAAAAAAUGAGGUAUUUUAUACCUCUUGUAUUUAAAACCCAAUUCUUUUUAAAAUAUAAAUUUUGUUUAAAAAAAAAAAAAACUUUCAACAAUAGAUCUCUUGGCUCUCGCAUCGAUGAAGAACGCAGCGAAAUGCGAUAAGUAAUAUGAAUUGCAGAAUUCCGUGAAUCAUCAAAUCUUUGAACGCAAAUUGCACUUCUUGGUAUUCCGAGGAGUACACAUGCUUGAGGGUCAGUUGAAAAAAAUUAUCGUACAUCAUUGAUGUUGCGGAUCUGGGUCAUGAUUCCGUUUUUAUAAAUUGGUUAC